CUUGACCUCAAAUCGAGUAGGACUACCCGCUGAACUUAAGCAUAUCAAUAAGCGGAGGAAAAGAAACUAACAAGGAUUCCCCUAGUAACGGCGAGUGAAGAGGGAAGAGCUCAAAUUUURAAUCUGGCACCUUUGGUGUCCGAAUUGUAAUCUAGAGAAGUGUUUUCCGUGGCGGACCGUGCAUAAGUCUCCUGGAAUGGAGCGUCAUAGAGGGUGAGAAUCCCGUAUAUGGCAUGGACUCCCGUUGCUCUGUGAUACACUCUCGACGAGUCGAGUUGUUUGGGAAUGCAGCUCUAAAUGGGUGGUAAAUGCCAUCUAAAGCUAAAUAUUGGCGAGAGACCGAUAGCGAACAAGUACCGUGAGGGAAAGAUGAAAAGCACUUUGGAAAGAGAGUGAAACAGUACGUGAAAUUGUUGAAAGGGAAACGCUUGAAGUCAGUCGCGCCGUUCGGGAUUCAGCCUUGCUUCUGCUCGGUUUACUUCCCGUUGGGUGGGUCAACAUCAGUUUCGGUCGGAGGAGAAAGACUUGGGGAAGGUAGCAGCAUUCGUGCUGUGUUAUAGCCCGUUGUUGUAUACUUCGGAUUGGGACUGAGGACCGCAGCACGCCUUUGGCCGGGGUUCGCCCACGUACGUGCUUAGGAUGUUGGCAUAAUGGCUUUAAGCGACCCGUCUUGAAACACGGACCG
rnacentral:rRNA from 1 species